rnacentral:rRNA from 1 species
GUCACCCUCCCCAAGUACCACAGCAAAGCCCCAGAUCGCUAACCCAUGCUAAGCAGGCGUACAAGAGGAGACAAGUCGUAACAAGGUAAGCAUACCGGAAGGUGUGCUUGGAUAAA